rnacentral:rRNA from 1 species
GACGAACGCUGGCGGCGUGCUUAACACAUGCAAGUCGAACGGAAAGGCCCUGCUUUUGUGGGGUGCUCGAGUGGCGAACGGGUGAGUAACACGUGAGUAACCUGCCCUUGACUUUGGGAUAACUUCAGGAAACUGGGGCUAAUACCGGAUAGGAGCUCCUGCUGCAUGGUGGGGGUUGGAAAGUUUCGGCGGUUGGGGAUGGACUCGCGGCUUAUCAGCUUGUUGGUGGGGUAGUGGCUUACCAAGGCUUUGACGGGUAGCCGGCCUGAGAGGGUGAGCGGCCACAUUGGGACUGAGAUACGGCCCAGACUCCUACGGGAGGCAGCAGUGGGGAAUAUUGCACAAUGGGCGGAAGCCUGAUGCAGCAACGCCGCGUGCGGGAUGACGGCCUUCGGGUUGUAAUCCGCUUUCGCCUGUGACGAAGCGUGAGUGACGGUAAUGGGUAAAGAAGCACCGGCUAACUACGUG